rnacentral:rRNA from 1 species
CGGCGUGCUUAACACAUGCAAGUCGAACGAUGAAACCUAGCAAUCUUUGGUUGUUGGGUGGAUUAGUGGCGAACGGGUGAGUAAUACGUGGGUAACCUGCCCUCCUUUUUGGGAUAAGCCUUGGAAACGGGGUCUAAUACCGAAUAUUCUGGAUGAUUCGCAUGGAUUGUUUGGGAAAGCUUUUGUGAAGGGGGAUGGGCUCGCGGCCUAUCAGCUUGUUGGUGGGGUGAUGGCCUACCAAGGCGGUGACGGGUAGCCGGCCUGAGAGGGUGACCGGCCACAUUGGGACUGAGAUACGGCCCAGACUCCUACGGGAGGCAGCAGUGGGGGAUAUUGCACAAUGGGCGAAAGCCUGAUGCAGCGACGCCGCGUGGGGGAUGAAGGCUUUCGGGUUGUAAACCUCUUUCGCUAUCGAACAAGGCUCACUAUAGGGUGGGUUGAGGGUAGGUGGAGAAGAAGCGCCGGCUAACUACGUGCCAGCAGCCGCGGUAAUACGUAGGGCGCGAGCGUUGUCCGGAAUUAUUGGGCGUAAAGGGCUUGUAGGCGGCUUGUUGCGCCUGCUGUGAAAACGCGGGGCUUAACUUCGCGCGUGCAGUGGGUACGGGCAGGCUUGAGUGUGGUAGGGGUGACUGGAAUUCCAGGUGUAGCGGUGGAAUGCGCAGAUAUCUGGAGGAACACCGAUGGCGAAGGCAGGUCAYUGGGCCAUUACUGACGCUGAGGAGCGAAGCAUGGGUAGCGAACAGGAU